rnacentral:tRNA from 1 species
GCCGCCUUAGCUCAGUUGGUAGAGCAACGGUUUUGUAAACCGUAGGUCCCCGGUUCAAGCCCGGGAGGCGGCUCCA